UCUCCCUCUCUCUCUCUUAUCCUCUCUAUCUCUCUCUGUUUCUCUCUCUCUCUCUCUCUCUCUCUCUCUCUGUCUCUCUCUCUAUAUAUAUAUAUAUUGUGUAUGUGUUUUGUUUUCCUCUAAGAAACAGCAGACUGUAUAUCCAGUGGGUGCCUUCUGUUUGUUUUGCAAUCUUGUUUUGGCGGAAUUGGACCACAGUUCCCAGGUUGUGACACCAUGACACAAACAACAGCUGUUUGGAAGGCUACUGUUCUGUCAAUUGAUUGUCUUUCUGUACGUUAUGAGUGCUGAAAUUGUGUUUGUCUAAGAUGCCCAUCAUGAUAAUGGAAGUUGUCAUUGAAAACAUGUUUCCAAGUGUUAAUAAUAAAAUAGCCCUGAUUGUA